CGGACUGGUGAGUAACGCGUGAGGAACCUGCCUUUCGGAGGGGGACAACAGUUGGAAACGACUGCUAAUACCGCAUGACGUAUCGGGAUCGCAUGGUCUUGAUACCAAAGAUUUUAUCGCCGAAAGAUGGCCUCGCGUCUGAUUAGCUAGUUGGUGGGGCAACGGCCUACCAAGGCGACGAUCAGUAGCCGGACUGAGAGGUUGGCCGGCCACAUUGGGACUGAGAUACGGCCCAGACUCCUACGGAAGGCAGCAG
rnacentral:rRNA from 1 species